UGAGGAAUAUUGGUCAAUGGACGCAAGUCUGAACCAGCCAAGUAGCGUGCAGGAUGAAGGCCCUAUGGGUUGUAAACUGCUUUUAUAUGGAGAUAAAGUGGGGAACGUGUUCCCUUUUGCAGGUACCAUAUGAAUAAGGACCGGCUAAUUCCGUGCCAGCAGCCGCGGUAAUACGGAAGGUUAGGGCGUUAUCCGGAUUUAUUGGGUUUAAAGGGAGCGUAGGCCGUUUGGUAAGCGUGUUGUGAAAUGUAGGAGCUCAACUUCUAGAUUGCAUCGUGAACUGUCAGCCUUGAGUGCGCACAACGUAGGCGGAAUUCAUGGUGUAGCGGUGAAAUGCUUAGAUAUCAUGAAGAACUCCGAUUGCGAAGGCAGCUUACGGGAGCGCAACUGACGCUGAAGCUCGAAGGUGCGGGUAUCGAACAGG
rnacentral:rRNA from 1 species